UCGGAUCGCAGGCUGCAACCCGCCUGCGUGAAGUCGGAAUCGCUAGUAAUCGCGGAUCAGCAUGCCGCGGUGAAUACGUUCCCGGGCCUUGUACACACCGCCCGUCACACCAUGAGAGUCGGGAACACCCGAAGUCCGUAGCCUAACCGCAAGGAGGGCGCGGCCGAAGGUGGGUUCGAUAAUUGGGGUGAAGUCGUAACAAGGUAUC
rnacentral:rRNA from 1 species